UAUAUAUAUAUAUAUAUAUACGAAAAUCCCGCAUAAAGUCAACACGAGGCCUGAUAUUCACCAGCAGAAAGUCGACACGGGAUAAGGUCAACACAUUCGUGUCGACUUUGUACGUUGCACUUUUUUAAAUGGCUAUAACUUUUAGAUUACUCUAUGAAUGGCCAUUUCAUUAUCAUUCUAUAAAAAUUCAAUGUUUCUAGGACUAUUUAAACAUAAAUUUAGUGGAUAAAGGUCUUGUUUUAACGAGUAUCGAUCAUUUAUAAAGAGGACCCUUUUUCAAAGUAUAUAUAUCCACCUGAGAAUCUCAGAUACAAAGUCGACACACCGGUUUUUUGGCUUUAUCUUUUUAAAAGUAGGUAUAUAUAGAAAAACGAAAGAGUGCAUGAGGUUACGGAUUGUUUCAUUUAAAAGUUCUGAUCUUAUCUCCGGGAUUUCUGCAGAAGAUAUUUAGUUAUCGAUGAUUUUCUAUCGCCGAGGCUACAAAAAUCGGCAAUCUGAACAAUAUAUAUACUUUGUGACGUCAGUCACUCAUUUCGGAGAGAAAAUAAUGGCGGACAGUGUUCGCUUCGAAUGAAAUUAUCUGUAUUUCUUUGGUUUUGUGGAGCAUUUAGGAUUAUUUAAACACAACAAUAUAAUGGAUGUACAGGCCAUCGUUGCAGUUCCCUUCCUUGAAGACUCUGUGGUGAUUGAUUGAAGUAUAUGAUCAGUCUUGACAAUCAAAACCAUGCUGAUCUUGUACUACUUUCUGUUGCUACUUUUAAUCAUCAUCUUAUCCACAAGAACGUUUUUUGUUAAACUGUUAUUUUAAUAAAAAAUAAAAAUCUGAUGAUCAA